rnacentral:rRNA from 1 species
UACGAAGGGUGCAAGCGUUAAUCGGAAUUACUGGGCGUAAAGCGUGCGCAGGCGGUUAUUUAAGACAGGGGUGAAAUCCCCGGGCUUAACCUGGGAACUGCAUUUGUGACUGCAUAGCUAGAGUACGGUAGAGGGGGAUGGAAUUCCGCGUGUAGCAGUGAAAUGCGUAGAUAUGCGGAGGAACACCGAUGGCGAAGGCAAUCCCCUGGACCUGUACUGACGCUCAUGCACGAAAGCGUGGGGAGCAAACAGG